rnacentral:snRNA from 2 species
GUACAAUGAGCACAUAUAGUAAAAUUGGAAUGAUACAGAGAAGAUUAGCAUGGGCCCUGCACAAGGAUGACACACAAAUUCGUGAAGCGUUCCAUUAAAAA